rnacentral:rRNA from 1 species
GAUGAACGCUGGCGGCAUGCCUAACACAUGCAAGUCGAUCGGUAAGGCUCUUCGGAGUUCACGUGAGGCGGACGGCUGAGUAACGCGUAGGAACACACCCUGCAGUGAGGGAUAAGACACCGAAAGGUGUUCUAAUACCGCAUACGGUCUUCGGAUUAACGCAUUUAUGCGCUGAAGGAGUGGCCUGCGUCAUAUUAGAUAGUUGGUGAGGUAAUGGCUCACCAAGUCGAGGAUGUGUAGCUGGUCUGAGAGGAUGAUCAGCCAGACUGGAACUGAGACACGGUCGAGACUCCUACGGGAGGCAGCAGUGAGGAAUAUAGCACAAUGAGCGAAAGCAUGAUGGAGCAAUGCCGCGUGCAGGAUGAAGGCCCUCGAGUAGUAAACUGCUUUUAUAAGAGAAGAUUAUGACGGUAACUUAUGAAUAAGGGACGGCUAACUACGUG